rnacentral:lncRNA from 1 species
AUCAAUUCCUUUCUCCUAAAAGUUGCCAUCCUAAACACUGCUCCCGUGGUAUCCCAUUCAGCCAGGCAUUGCGAAUCAAGAGAAUAUGCUCUACUGAAAAUACGAAAAAUUCUAGACUUGGACAACUUCGUAAACAUCUAGUUGUUCGAGGAUACAAUAACAACAUCAUUGAUAGCGCUUUCGAAAGAGCAAACAGAACUAGUCGCCAAGAACUUCUUGAGUACAAAGAUAAGAAUAAAGCAGCUAACAGAACACCCC